UCCUCCUCCUUCUUCUCCUCCUCCUCCUCUUCGCCCUCCCACUCCCACCCCCAACCAAGGCCUGCUGACCGCGCCGAGCUGGACAGACCACCGCUGCUGGGAGACGGGAGAGGAAGCAGCCGGCCCUCCCCUGGGUUCGCGCUCCCGCCGACUCUGAGGGAAUUGAAUUGAGGCGCCGCGGCUGCGGGAGCUGAAAAGGAAGGAGGAGCCGUCGCGGGACUGAGACGGGGGCAGAGCCGAAGAGACCAACACAGAGAAGGAAACGAGGAGGAGGAUGUCUCACUGGGCGGCCAGCGCCUGGAUCAGCCCGUGACUGUUACAGCGGCGGGCCUCAGACCCCAGCGCAGACUCGGACUUUGUCUUUGGGGGCCGGUGUUCUGCCCUCCCCGGUUUCUGGCAGGAUCCAGAGGAGCCGGCGUGCCUCUCUGCCCUCCAGCCUUCUUCACCAUGUCCAAGAUGCCGGCCAAGAAGAAGAGCUGCUUCCAGAUCACCAGUGUCACCACGGCCCAGGUGGCCACUAGCAUCACCGAGGACACCGAGAGCUUGGACGACCCGGACGAGUCACGCACAGAGGACGUCUCCUCCGAGAUUUUCGACGUCUCUCGGGCCACGGAUUAUGGCCCUGAGGAGGUCUGCGAGCGCAGCUCCUCCGAAGAGACACUUAACAAUGUUGGGGAUACGGAGACUCCCGGGACCGUCUCCCCAAACCUCCUUCUGGAUGGGCAGCUGGCAGCGGCGGCGGCUGCUCCCGCCAACGGAGGAGUCGUCGUUUCCACCCGGAGCGUGGCUGGGGCGCUUGCCAGUACCCUGGUGGCGGCCGCCACUUCGUCCCCCGCCUCCGGAGCACCCGGCGGCCCCCAGGUCGCGGGCUCAUCCGCUGGGCCAGUGACUGCAACCCCAUCUCAGCCUCCCACCACUUGUAGUUCCCGUUUUCGUGUGAUCAAGCUGGACCACGGGAGCGGAGAGCCCUAUCGACGCGGCCGAUGGACGUGUAUGGAAUACUAUGAGAGGGAUUCAGACAGCAGCGUCCUGACUAGAUCCGGGGAUUGCAUUAGACACAGCAAUACUUUUGACCAGACUGCAGAGCGGGACAGCGGCUUGGGAGCCACGGGAGGGUCGGUGGUGGUAGUGGUGGCUUCCAUGCAGGGGGCGCACGGGCCCGACUCGGGAACUGACAGCUCCUUGACUGCUGUGUCACAGCUACCCCCGUCGGAGAAAAUGAGCCAGCCCACUCUGGCCCAGCCGCAGAGUUUUAGCGUUGGGCAGCCACAGCCGCCGCCGCCACCCGUAGGUGGGGCUGUGGCUCAGAGCUCGGCUCCGCUGCCGCCGUUCCCGGGAGCCGCGACCGGGCCACAGCCGAUGAUGGCAGCCUCGCAGCCAAGCCAGCCCCAGGGAACGGGGCCCGGAGGACAGACUUUGCCGCCGACGAAUGUAACCCUGACGCAGCCGGCUAUGCCCCUGCCUCCGCAGCCCGGCCCGGCUGUCGGCGCUUCUGCGACGCCGCAGCCCCAGCAGUUCGCGUAUCCUCAGCCUCAGAUACCGCCCGGACAUUUGCUGCCCGUCCAGCCAUCCGGCCAGAGUGAGUACCUGCAGCAGCACGUGGCCGGCCUGCAACCGCCAAGCCCCGCACAGCCCUCGUCCACUGGCGCCGGAGCGAGCCCCGCCACGGCGGCCAGCCUUUCCGUGGGCACCGGCCAGAAUGCCUCUUCGGUGGGCGCGCAGCUCCUGGGCGCGUCUUCCCAGCCCAACGAAGCGGUGCCCCCCCGGCCGGGACCAGCGCAAGGCGGGCAGGUCGCGCCGUGUCAGGCGGCUGGAGUGUCCCCAGCUGCUGUGGGAGGCGUGGUGCAGGCUGGCAUGGGUUCUGCCGGGGCUGGGCAGCCCCAGUCCGUGCCUCCGCCGCAGAUGGGUGGCAGUGGUCCGCUGUCAGCCGUACCUGGUGGCCCUCACGCCGUGGUGCCCGGAGUCCCAAACGUGCCUGCAGCCGCGCCCGCUCCAAGCGUGCCUGGUGUGUCUACCACUUCUGUUACUAUGCCAAAUGUACCCGCGCCUCUGGCCCAGUCGCAACAGCUGAGCAGCCAUACGCCAGUCAGCAGGAGCAGCAGCAUAAUCCAGCACGUUGGGCCGCCCUUAGCGCAAGGAGCACACAGUGCACCAACAAGUCUACCACAGUCUGACCUAAGCCAGUUUCAGACUCAAACCCAGCCUUUAGUCGGGCAAGUCGACGAUACUAGAAGAAAAUCAGAACCCCUACCUCAACCACCACUUUCUCUCAUUGCUGAAAAUAAGCCUGUUGUGAAGCCGCCUGUUGCAGAUGCCCUGACAAACCCCCUUCAGUUAACACCUAUGAACAGUCUGGCCACCUCUGUAUUCAGCAUAGCUAUUCCUGUUGAUGGCGAUGAAGACAGGAAUCCUUCAACUGCUUUCUACCAAGCGUUCCAUUUGAACACGUUUCAGGAAUCAAAGAGCCUCUGGGAUAGGUAUGAAUACUUACAUAAGGAAUGCAUACAUGCAAAACUGUAUGCAUGAAUUGCUUUGCACUGUACUGGUUUCUCGUCAUUAAAACUGAUAUUUGUUAUUUUAGGGGGGAUUCACAUGGUAUCUAGCAUGGGACAAAGCAGCAAAAUAAACCAAAAGGACAAUCUAUAUAGAAAAUAAACAUACUUUUCUUUUUUCUGCAUCCUGUGUACUUUAUUUCUAUAUUUUUGAAGGGUUCACAUUGUGUUGAAUUUUUGAUAUGAAAUAGUCACUUCCCCAGUGUAUUUUAAUGCAAAUGCAUAUUCUAUAAAAUAAACUAUCUACAGUUACUUUAAUUUUUGUGCCAUUUUAUGUUUUUUCUAUAAAAGCCAUAGUGAUUCAAAGCAAAAUGUUAUUUCAAAUUAUGAAAUUGGAGGAGGAACAAGACUAAGGUAUCAAAGUAAUUGUUGUUUAAUUUUUGGCAAGAAACUUUAACUUCAAAUUUGUUUGCUAGAACUCACUAGGUCUGCAUUACUGAUUUGUAAGCCCCUGCAAAGUUUGCUUUCUUACAGAAAUGCUAUAUAGAUUUUAUUGUUAACUCUUAAAAAUACAAAAUGAAGUCUUGGAGAUCUUUUAUGGCAAAAGAUACUUUGGUUUAUCUUUCUGCUUAACACACAUUUUAAGUAGUGUAUGCUCUGUUCAGUCAUUUUGCUGAAUAUUUAUUAGCACUCCAUCAUUUUAUGUUUAAUUAAUAGAAGUUGAGCUCAAACAAUGUUUUUAAAAUUCACACAAAGCUUGUUAGAUUCUUUUAACUCUGCCUGGCAACGCGUUUGUGUCUUCUGGCAUAGUUUUGGAUAACACUCAUGAACUCAACUCCAUCUCUUUCAUUAGAAAAGAGUAUUGCUAAGUGCAUGUACAUGUCAUAUUAAGACAUGAUACAUAUUGCCUAGAAAUGCUAAAACAGUCUAAUUCUUUGGCUUGAUUUGCUUGUGUGUGUCACUCUAGGGAAAUUUUCUAACAGUAUCUUUUUGAUAGUAUGUUCCAGAAAUGUUUUUAAAGAGUUACUUUUACAAUAGGAAGUUUUAAAAUGUGUAGUACCAUGUUUAUAAAACAAAUUUUUAAAUAGUUCUUCCCUAGCCAUUUAAAUUAAUACAUAAAUGUAAAUUGUGACAUGAAAUAAACAUGAAGGUUUAAUCAUUCAAAUAGUUUUCCAAAUGAAGCCAGAAUGUGAGUACUUUGGGGUAUGCUUUAUAGUUUCCCUUAGAAAAAGGAAAAAUAGCCCUGUAUUUAGAAAUGUAGUAAGAGUAGUUUUCAAAUGUAUGGUAAUUUAUUUCACAUAGCUAAUUUGUGAGCUGUCAUGGUUUCGAUAUGAAUGAUAUAUUAUUUUUAUCAGCGUAGAAAGGUUUGAGCUAUAUUUUUAAUAAUUUGAAUCUAGUAUUAAAAGGUUUGUUUCAUAAUAAAACAACUAUAGAAGUUGCCAGCACAUCAUUUGUUGUUACAGCUAAAUACUCCUUAUCUGUUUUCUUUUUUUAGAUACCAGAAACUUUUAAGGUAUCAGAAAUGAGGCAAGUUGCUGUAUCUAUAGUUUCUCAUGGGUUGAAAAUAUUUUCUCAUCUCCUUGGAGCCUGUUGUCCAGAGCCAAAGAAGUUAGUGAAUAUCUGUCUGUAGUGUGUUAAUGCCAAAAUAUAAUCAAAUAUAAUCAAAAUAUCAGGUCAGCCAUUCUUCACUGUAAAUUGGCAUUGCGGGUACUAAGGUGACAAGCCCAACCUAAUAGAAACUGACUAGUGGCUUCCUUUUAACUUUUCAACUAACUUACUAAAUUUUCCACUGAGAGGAGCAAUCAUAGCUAACUUUAUUAGUUUUAAUAAUCUAUACUUUCAGUUGGCAAAUAUCUACAGAAUUAUUGAUAGGUAUAUCAGUUAAUAAAGUAUCAUGAGACCAUUUAUUCCUUGCAAACGGGUUGAAGAUUUGUGUAUGUUAAGCUAUAAAAAAUAUUAAAUAUAACUUCUGACUUUGUUUGUUUUGGACAUCGCCAAAUUACAUUGUUCAUUUUUUACUAUUAUAAAUUUAGGAUUUUUUUUUACUUUGCUACGAAUUUGGCAAACAGGUGUUUUGCAAGGAUGAUUCUUCUAUUAAAGAGAGACAUGGGCCGGCAUGGUGGCUUACGACUGUAAUCCUGGCACUUUGGGAGGCUGAGACAGGUAGAUCACCUGAGGUCAGGAGUUUUGAGACCAGCCUGCCAACAUGGUGAAACCCAUCUAUACUACAAAUACAAAAAUUAGCUGGGCGAAUUGGCAUGUCCCUGUAAUCUCAAGCUAUUUGCGAUGCUGAGGCAGGAGAAUCACUUGAACCUAGGAGGCAGAGGUUGCAGUGAGCCGAAAUUGCUCCAUUGCACUCCAGCCUGGGUGACAGAGCGAGACUCCCUCUC